GAUGAACGCUAGCUGGAGGCUUAAUACAUGCAAGUCGAGCGGGAUUGGGUAGCAAUACCCAUGAGAGCGGCGCACGGGUGAGUAACGCGUACACGACCUACCUCUAACAGGGGGAUAGCCCUGGGAAACUGGGAUUAAUACCGCAUAUAAUUCUGACAAAUAAAGAGUUGGAAUGAAAGUUCAGGCGGUUAGAGAUGGGUGUGCGUCUGAUUAGCUAGUUGGUGAGGUAACGGCUCACCAAGGCGAUGAUCAGUAGGGGGCGUGAGAGCGUGGUCCCCCACACGGGUACUGAGACACGGACCCGACUCCUACGGGAGGCAGCAGUAAGGAAUAUUGGACAAUGGCCGCAAGGCUGAUCCAGCCAUCCAGCGUGCAGGAAGAAGGCCCUAUGGGUUGUAAACUGCUUUUGUCAGGGAAUAAACCUGUGGAUUCACUCCGCAGCUGAAGGUACCUGAAGAAUAAGCACCGGCUAACUCCGUGCCAGCCGCCGCGGUAACAC
rnacentral:rRNA from 1 species